AAGGUUAUACGAAGAAGAAGAAAAAACAGCUGGAUAGAAAGAAGAGAAAGAGAUAGAGAGAUAGAGAAGAACGUAGAAGAAAUGGGAAGAAAAGGAAAGCGCAGUCUGGUGAGAAAAAAGGAAAACAUGAAUUGAAUUAAGAAGAGACGGCAGCGCCACGAUACAAACUAACGGCAAUGUCCGGAAAUUGUAUACGGGCUUUAACAUGGCGCAUGCGCGUUUAAGAGAUAUUUCUCUCUUAUACCAUCAUCACCACCACCACCUACCAUUACCACCACCACCACCACCACCACCACCACUACUAUCACCACCACCACACUGUCGUCGCGUUGUCGUGCGCUGUCCCGCCGCCUGCGGACGAACCGAAAUAAAUCGAACGCGACGCCGAGUCGAUCAGCAGCGGAGUAAAGGUGCUACUACGCUACUACGGUGGACGCGACCGUUUUUCGCGUUUAGUGAUGAUCAGGACGAGCCGUUCUUGUUUUCGUCGACGUUGUUAUUCGUGGCAUUGCGUUAAAACGAAAUAGCGUGCCACCCACAAAAGAAUAAAAUCAAGAGAAACGCGCGAACGCAACGUUAACCAACGAUAAAUAGAUAAAUAAAUAAAUAAAUAAAUAAAUAAACAAACAAACAAAUAAAUAAAUAAAUCUCUUACUGAGAAUUAUUCUGACGAAAUAAGAGAAAAAUAAUAAGAAUAACAAGCAAGUGAAGAAGAGAGGUAGGAGAAGGAGUAAGAAAAAGAAAAAGAAGAAUAGAAAGAAGAGGAAGAAAAGGAGGAGGAAGAGGAAGAAGAAGAAGAAGAAGAAGAAGAAGAAGAAGAAGAAGAAGAAGAAGAGGAGCUAACUAACGAACGAACGAACGAGAAGGAACGAGGACACGCGCUUCGUUGCUCGUCGCUGUCGCGGCCACGGAUGCAUAUGGAGGUGUCCCCGAACCGGCGCUGUCUGAACCAGCUCAACAGCUGAUCGGAGUACGAAGCGGCGGUGAACGGGGCCACUAUUGCACCACCACCCCGCAUAUUUGCAAGAAAUCGGAACCGAUAUAAUCGUUGAGGAGUAACGAGAGAUCUUAAAGGCCACGUUCGAAAGAGUUGUAGAAGAGAGAUCAAGAGAGAGAGAGAGAGAGAGAGA